UGUCACGGACAAACUUUGAAACAGGGUGUUUGAUGUAAUGCUUAUGUAUGUCCGUGUCUUUUGGCAUGUUCAUGCCUUGUACAGAAUGUAGAGGGGCGGCCGAAGGCUUAAUAGUCCCACUUUAGUUGGGUUGGUGGCCUCUUUAGGCUUGUAAAAAAAGGUUGUGUCAUGUAGACACGUGCGAGAGCUUUUCGGUCUGUAAUGGACCAUUUUACCCUUUGUUGUGCCACUGUUCAGAGCUUGUAAAGUCUGUUUGUAAUUUGCAUUGUCUAUAAAGUGUUUUUCGGAGAUGUUUGCUUGUGGAUCCCGAUUGAGGCGUUCUCUCUAACCCGUUCUCUCUUUUGGUGGUCCUAAGGGACAAUGGGAGGCUUUGGGGAGGCUGACCUUUGCGGACGGACACGCAAGGGUGCCGCACGACUUAGGCAAAACCAGCUAAGUCCGUGUCAUAUGGUAUCAGAGCGGGACAAGCACUCAUAUAAACACUUAGCAUGCAAACGUGGGGGACCUAGCGGGACUGCGUUGAGGGCAGUCAGCACACACUCGACCGUUUGGGGGAAAACGGGCAUGGAGAUGUAGGGAAAGGAGUCGCUCAGAGGAGCGGGCAUCCGAGAUUGGCAUUCAGAGGAAUGGCCAACCCUUCGCGCAAGAGGCACCACGAGAACAGGCAAGCUUGGAAGAAUUUGGAGCGCACAAAGGUUGGGAUGGCUGAGUUUGAGCUACGGCUCAACGUUGACAACUAUACUUGAUGGUGCUCUAGGCAAGCGAGGCGCUUGGCAAGAAUGAGACCAUGCAGGGUGGAAAGAGUUGCUCAACGACCAAAAGAGUUAUGCAAAGCUCACAGAGGUGAGGGGAAUUGCUAACUCGAAGAUUUUGGUACUCAUGCAUGGGCUUGUAUGCGGACGACGGAAUGUUCGUGGCCAUCCCAAGGCGACCGAAACUCGGCGCCAUGGAGCAUUGAAACUUUCUCUUCGGCAUGUGAAGGAUACGUCCGUCGGAGGCUAAAGUGUGCAACGAGUUUAGCAUGUUGCUAGACCUUGAGGGGUGCAGUGGGGGCUGUAUUGACAUGAAGUCGCAAUCUAGCAAGUGCGUUUGCAGGAGGCAGAACAGUGCACAGUUUGUUUAGCAGAUCGGAGUAGUCCAAGGGGAUGGUGGUCCCCGAAACGAAGAGAGAUGUUGCUCCAACGGGAUAGUUAUCCAGGAGGGAUAAGUCCCGGCUCUCCAGAGGGAGAAUCAAGUGAGACAGACCUCACAAGUUGAGGAGUACCUCAACAAAUAACAACUCCACGAAGCUUGAUGGAUUGAGCAAGCGGCGAGGAGUCGUCGCAUGAUCUCGCUCGAGGGAAUGCAUUGGUGGAUGCAUUGCGAGAUCAAGUGGGGGAGCGACCUGAAGCAACUUAAAUGAAGGCACACUUGGAGUCGAUGUGGAGAUCGGACUCAAGGGAGGGCUGACCCGUGGAAUGGUGGGAGCGAGGGCCACCAUCGACUCAAUGCGAAAACGAGGAGCGGAGUAACUUGGGUGUAACUUGGCGAAGUACCCAAGCCGCAUGAAGGGAGCCAGCAUAGAAGUUGGAACAUGGAGCAGAGGCACAGUGCUUUCCUUAGACAGAGGUCAAGGACAUGGACUCUUGCAGAGGCAAGAGUAGGAUCAUGUUGUUCCAUGGGCCAUUCAUUCUAUCAGAGUGGACUCAUCUUGCAUGGUGCCAAAGACGAAGGGAGCUUCUGGGCACAUGCACCUUAUCUCGGAGGAGCAUUUGAUGGAGGAACUAAGGCGACUCAAUUUGCAGAGGCGAAGUUGAGUUCAGAAGACCUUAGCACGCGGCAAGAGGACGCAAAGGCAGGUACUCUUGAAGAAUAUGCCACAGUGUUGCCAUUCGAGUUGCUAUGAAGGAAGCGGUGCGCAGCGGAGAUUGUGCUGGUAGGGGCAGAGGCUCAGGAUCCAGACAAUAGUGCACAAAUUACAGUGAAGUCGGUGGACUUCGGGAGCUACUAGGCGACGGACGGUCCUAGAGCGGUGCUUCAUCUAGGUGUGACCCAAGAGUGGGUGGAUGAAGGUCGAUUGCCAAAGGAGCGAACAAAAUCGAAGGUGGAGGAGACCCUGCGAUGUAUUGGCAAAGGCCACACAUGGAGGGUUCACAAUUCGAGUUUAUUCCACAAGGAUCAGAAUGCAAUGGAGAUGUCACCAGGAGGCGACAUGGUGCAGCGGAUCGUGGUGGAACAGUUUGUGGCAAUGCGAUACACACGACUGGGUCCCGGGAGGGACUAGAUCAUAUGGAGGUAUGAUCGGGAGUUACUGGGAGCUCCACUUCGGUGAACAACACGACGGCAAGAAGGGCUAUGGAUUCAAGGAGUGAAGGCCAUGGUACCGCAGAGGCGGGUCUUCCGUGCGUGCAUCGAAUUUUGCAUCGGAUGAAAACCUUGGUCAUCAGCAUAUGGGGGCUGGGUUCCACCAAGGGAAGAGUUUGGAUGCAAGUACCAGUGAGUCCCAUGAGAGGGACUUGAUCAUGCAGAGGUAUGAUCGAAGCAGCUGGAGAGUUGGACUACUCCAGAGCUCAUAUUCGCUUAAGGGAGCCCGACAAGUCAGAGGACAAGGUCGAGUAAGCGAACGUUGCUACCAAGGAAGCUAAGGAGAAUAGAAUUGGUGCAAACCCUACAACGCGAUGGCAGAGGCCAUGCAUGGGAGUUGCAGUCUGUCUUUCCAUCGACCAAACAGACUGCUUGGAAAACACAGAGGUGUUGAAGCAGGAGGUCGAAAGGGGCGAGGAAGCGACGACGAGUCCAGAGGGACUUAGCUACCCAAAAUCAAGCAUCAGUCAGAAUGGGGGUGGACUCAAAGGAGUGCCACGGAGACAUAUCUACUGAUCGUGAAGAAAAGGGAUGCAAAUGCGAGGAGACGGAUAGUAGGGCCAUGGGCAUGGCAGCGUCAUGGUACCGCAGAGGCGGGACUUCCGUAAAAGUCAUUGAUCCCUUGCUCUCAUGGAGGGAGAGCGCUUGGUCGUGAAAGGGGCCGAGGAGGUGGAGUAUGCAGAGGCAAUCUCCAAGGACCGAGACAAGGCUGAAGGGCAGAGGCCAAGAAACUUCGUAAGAUCGGUGUCAACAAGUUUCUCAUCAAGAUAGCCGUAAGUGAAGGACUUCGGGUCAUGCAAGAGUGCACGACCAAGGAACGAAGCAAGCAGUACGCGGUGCUGUACCUUUGCUACUCAAUGGAGUAGGCGGCAGGGUUGAUGGAGAAGACGGUACAAUCCGAGAGGCAACCUCAUCUAUCNNNNNNNNNNNNNNNNNNNNGGGCGAAACCGAGUACCCCAGUUCUCUUAUCUAUCUAGCAGAGGAGCUCUGCACAAGUUCAAAGACCCUUCGAAGAUAAUGGAAGACAAUAAUUGUCAAAUCCUCACCAACGGUGAUCAGUGCUACUGAGAGUAGAUUGCCCGCUUCAUUUCCCAACGAAAUGCCAAUCGAAAGCGGAAGUGAUGCGAACCUACUUGGAUGUGACAACUAAUUGAAAGAAGAGUCAAUGAGCAGAUUUUGUGGAGGAAGGACCCAAAACUUCAGAAGUUUUGCGAGGCGAUGCUCGUUAAAGCUCCAACAAGCAUCUACCCAGUUCAAGCAGCAUGUGGAAAUUUUGAGAAACUAGCACAGUAAGAAUGGUCUUUUCCUUCAUUUGGUGGAUCCGCAGGAAUCAACGAGGAUCAAUACAACUCAGCCAACCCCACACCAAAGUCAGAGUCAUUGGCGAGUUGAAGCAGCAUGGCGGAUCAAAGGUUCGACUACUCAAAAACAGCAGCGGAGAGCAGCUGGGAGCCAGGAGGCGCAUUGCAGCUGGAGCAGAAGAUUGAAGACUCAGCAAAGGCGAAGAGUUGCAGUGUUCACUAAGGCUUCGACGAGGACGUCAAAGGGAUAAGUGGGGGAGAAUGUCACGGACAAACUUUGAAACAGGGUGUUUGAUGUAAUGCUUAUAUAUGUCCGUGUCUUUUGGCAUGUUCAUGCCUUGUACAGAAUGUAGAGGGGCGACCGAAGGCUUAAUAGUCCCACUUUAGUUGGGUUGGUGGCCUCUUUAGGCUUGUAAAUAAAGGUUGUGUCAUGUAGACACGUGCGAGAGCUUUUCGGUCUGUAAUGGACCAUUUUACCCUUUGUUGUGCCACUGUUCAGAGCUUGUAAAGUCUGUUUGUAAUUUGCAUUGUCUAUAAAGUGUUUUUCGGAGAUGUUUGCUUGUGGAUCCCGAUUGAGGCGUUCUCUCUAACCCGUUCUCUCUUUGGGUGGUCCUAAGGGACAAUGGGAGGCUUUGGGGAGGCUGACCUUUGCGGACGGACACGCAAGGGUGCCGCACGACUUAGGCAAAACCAGCUAAGUCCGUGUCACCUCGGGA
rnacentral:lncRNA from 1 species